UACGAAGGGGGCUAGCGUUGCUCGGAAUUACUGGGCGUAAAGGGCGCGUAGGCGGCACUGUUAGUCAGGCGUGAAAGUCCUGGGCUCAACCUGGGAACUGCGCUUGAUACGGCAGAGCUAGAGGAUGGAAGAGGCUCGCGGAAUUCCCAGUGUAGAGGUGAAAUUCGUAGAUAUUGGGAGGAACACCAGUGGCGAAGGCGGCUUUCUGGCCUGUUCUUGACGCUGAGGCGCGAAAGCUAGGGUAGCAAACGGG
rnacentral:rRNA from 1 species